AGUAACAGACUAAAUUGUAUUUUGGAAAAUAAUAAGAUAUUCAAGAAACAAAAUAUAUUGUAAAAUAAACAUGAUUAUAUGUGAACUUAUUAACGUCCAUAACAACUAACGUCCGUAACGAAAACUUUCUAACGUACCCUGCUUCGAAAUCGGAACUUUUAUUAUGCCACAACCAAAUGGGUCGACACCGUUGUAAUAUCAACUCGAGCAGACGACAAUUUGAAAGUAUAGUUUGGGCGAGUGUGUGAGAUACCAUGUGAUAUAUUACCUUCAAGAAAUCAUGCCAUUGUCGAACGCUGAACGUCAGAAAAGAUGGAGAGAGAAAAACAAAUAUUUGAAAACAGAAACAUAUUUUACGAAAGAGAAAGACAGAGACGCAGAAACCGCUAUGUAACCGUUGCACAACUGAGUUUGGCUGCUUUGAAGAAACAAGAAAAGAAACAAAUAUACGGGUUAAAAAAUAUUACAUAAAUGAAAAAGAAAAGGAAAACAACCAGAAGAAUGUCAUGGAACAUAAUUUAGAUAGUGGCAGUAAAUACCCUAGUUCAUGUACUAGAAGCAAAAUUUCAACACAGGACAUAACUGGUAAACUAAUAGUAAAAAUGCCGAUAUUAAAGAACAGUGUGUCUGCUGGAUUAAGAAAGACAUACAAACGAGCUUUACGUAGAUCUUACAGAGAAAAUGAAGACCUUAGGGUGAAAAUAAAAUGUUUGAAUAGAGACAAGAAACGUUUACAGAAGAAACUUGAAAGAAUCCGCAGAAAUGAAAGGUGUACAAGUGACAAAUCGUUUUUAGCGGAUUGUUCAUCAGUUGAAGAAAACACCCUGACACCACACAGAAGAACAAAAUUCCAAAUGAGAAAAUCUGGAUUAGAUCCAAAGGGAUACAAAUUAGUAAGAAGUCGGUUGCUUAUGUCUAAUACAAUAAUAGCAGAUAUCAAGGCGAACCUGACAAAGAACAGAAAGACUUAUAAUAUUGCGUGCGCAGUGGUAAAGAAGUACAGAUGUUUGUCAACAUUUAGUAAGGCCGUUGGAAUAAGCAGACGAAAAAGCAUGAAAUAUUUGUUGCCAAAACGUACACGGAGAACAAUAAAAGUACAGCUGCUGGAGACUGUAACUGCAUUUUUGGAGCGUGAAGACAACAGCGUUCUUCUGCCUGGAAAAAGGGAUGUUAAACGUACUCGUGGGGUUGCAAAUCAGAAGCGGCUUUUGACAGACUAUCUACACAACAUUCAUGCCAAAUUCCAAUUGGAAAAUCCGGAUGUAAAAAUAUCAAAGUCUGUUUUUUACCAAAUGAAACCAACAUAUAUACUACAUGCUAACUUUUCAGCAAGAAGAACAUGUCUGUGCCCUCGUCACCAGAACAUGCUCUGAAAUUACGGAGUUUGAGGCAAUCUGGGAUUCAGUCUUCAAAAAACCCAGAUGUAUUCAUCAAGGCAUAUGAUGACGAACAUAUCGCGUGUGAAACUGAUGCGAAAUGUUCAGAAUCCGUCAAGUUUAUAAAUUGGAAGAAAGUAAAAGAUGGAGAAAAGCUGAGAUGGAAAGAGAUAGAAGAAACAGUACCAAAAACGAAAUUCAAAGAAACAUUUAUGUCAGAAUUAUCAACAUUUAGACAGCACGUAAAACGUGUACAAAUACAGUAUGCAGAGAUGAAACGAUAGGAAUGAAUCUUCAAGCAGGACAUGUACUUGUAUGGAUGGAUUUUGCGGAGAAUUUUCUUUGUUCGUCAGUAGAGGAAAUUCAGUCAGCAUACUGGAACAGCACGAUGGUCACGCUACAUACUAUUGUAGUUUACUUUCCAGAUGACCAUAGCAAGAAAUUGCAAAGCUUUGUUGCACUUUCAGAUCUGAUGCACCAUAACUCGACAGCAGUGUAUGCUGUUCUAAGAAAAUUAUUACCUAUUCUGAAGAAAGAGUACCCGCAAAUCGCAACUGUACAUUAUCUAACAGAUUCACCAACAAGUCAGUAUAGAAACAAAUUUAUUUUCCAGAUCCUACAAUACCAUUUUCUUGAGUUCGGAUUGGAAGCAAGAUGGAAUUAUUUGGAAUCUGGUCAUGGCAAAGGGCCAUGUGACGGGUUGGGUGGCAGUGUGAAACGAUCAGCAGAUAUGGCAGUAAAGCAAGGAAAAUGUAGCAUUCAAGGAGCCCAAGAUUUUUAUGUAUGAGGUCUGUCAAAUAAGGAAAACGGAAGCAAGGUGAAAUACAUCCUUUACUCACAGGAUGAAUAUGACGCAGCAGCAAAAGCUGUGGAGAAGAGGCUCACGCCAAUGGUAAUUCAUGGUACACUGAAGCUACAUGCAGUGGUACCUGUAUCAAACACAUCGCUGUGCGUUCGAGAGCUCUCUUGCAAUUGUCAGUCGUGCAUUAGAGACCCAACCUCUACACCUUGUGAGGGAUGGACAGUUCAUCAGUUAAAGACAAAACAGACAAAAGCAUCAAUCCAGGACUCAAAAGAAAAAGACAAACAAUCAAAUACGUCAGUUGUCGAAGAGACCAUAACACAUACAGCUGAUGAACAGUCAAAUGCGUCGGUUGUCGAAGAAGCUAUAACACAUACAGUUGAUCAAUGGGUUGCUGCUGUUUACGAUGGAAGAUGGUACAUUGGAGUAAUAACUGAAACUGACGAAAAUGACUCCACGUGUUUAACAGAAUUCAUGACAAGAUGUGGGAAGUACGAAAACCUUUUUAAAUGGCCUCCAAUUACAGACCAGAUAUGGGUAGCCAAUGAUAAAAUCCUGCUACAGCUGGAACAACCACCCAGUGCACUCGGGGAAAACUAAGAGAUGUUUUAAACUCGAAAUGCAGGAGAUUGAGAGGAUUGGUCGUUUAUUUAGCUUGUAGACAGACCUAAAAAGAAAAUGAUGAUUUGUUUAUUAUCUACAAUGACAAUGUUAACUAUUUAAUCAGGUUCUUUGUUAAAUCUGUUUGUUACAUUUGUUUUAAAAUGUUUGCAAUUACUAUUUAUUGGAAUACACGUAUGUACUGUUUUGACAAGUUACUGGUUACACAAGUAAACGGAAUAAUACAUUUCGACGAUAACAUACGUAACAGCCCAUUAUACACAAUGCAUAUUGUUUGUUUUGAAAUAAAAUGUAGAACAAUAUAUAAUUUGUGUCUGCAUUACUAUGA